rnacentral:misc_RNA from 1 species
CUGAAACUGCUGAGAUUGAAUUAGAGCUCGCCAAUUUAUUAUUGAACUUACCGUCAAUUAAGCAGGAGUAUCUAAUCCGUGAUGAUCACAAACUAAUUUUGCUGGCAUCUCUUAGUGACUCACUGGAAUAUGUUGCAGACUCUAUUGACAAGUUAGGACAGACAACUUUGAAACCUUCAUAUCAAGCAGAAGUUAAUGGCAGGCACCAUCAUACCCGAACAAACAGUGCACUUACUCGGGAUCUGG